rnacentral:rRNA from 1 species
UCAUGGCUCAGGAUGAACGCUAGCGACAGGCUUAACACAUGCAAGUCGAGGGGCAUCACGGGAGUAGCAAUACAACUGGUGGCGACCGGCGCACGGGUGAGUAACGCGUAUGCAACCUACCUAUCAGAGGGGAAUAACCCGGCGAAAGUCGGACUAAUACCGCAUAAAACAGGGGCACCGCAUGGUGAUAUUUGUUAAAGAAAUUCGCUGAUAGAUGGGCAUGCGUUCCAUUAGGUAGUUGGUGAGGUAACGGCUCACCAAGCCGACGAUGGAUAGGGGAACUGAGAGGUUGGUCCCCCACACUGGUACUGAGACACGGACCAGACUCCUACGGGAGGCAGCAGUGAGGAAUAUUGGUCAAUGGGCGGGAGCCUGAACCAGCCAAGUCGCGUGAAGGAAAGAAGGAUCUAUGGUUCGUAAACUUCUUUUGCAGGGGAAUAAAGUGCAGGACGUGUCCUGUUUUGUAUGUACCCUGAGAAUAAGGAUCGGCUAACUCCGUGCCAGCAGCAGC